rnacentral:rRNA from 1 species
CGCUGGCGGCGUGCCUAACACAUGCAAGUCGAACGGAUUUGAGGGGCUUGCUCCUCAAGUUAGUGGCGCACGGGUGAGUAACGCGUAGAUAAUCUGCCUGAUGAUCCAGGAUAACACUUCGAAAGGGGUGCUAAUACCGGAUAAGCCCACGGGGUCUUUGGACUCAGCGGGAAAAGGGGGGGACCUUCGGGCCUUUUGUCAUCAGAUGAGUCUGCGUACCAUUAGCUAGUUGGUAGGGUAAUGGCCUACCAAGGCUACGAUGGUUAGCUGGUUUGAGAGAAUGAUCAGCCACACUGGAACUGAGACACGGUCCAGACUCCUACGGGAGGCAGCAGUGGGGAAUUUUGCGCAAUGGGCGAAAGCCUGACGCAGCAACGCCGCGUGAGUGAUGAAGGCUUUCGGGUCGUAAAGCUCUGUCGAGGGGAAAGAAGUGUACGGAGGUCAAUACCCUCUGUACUUGACGGUACCCCUAAAGGAAGCACCGGCUAACUCCGUGCCAGCAGCCGCGGUAAUACGGGGGGUGCAAGCGUUGUUCGGAAUUAUUGGGCGUAAAGAGCGUGUAGGCGGUUUGUUAAGUCUGAUGUGAAAGCCCUGGGCUCAACCCAGGAAGUGCAUUGGAAACUGGCAGACUUGAAUACGGGAGAGGGCAGUGGAAUUCCUAGUGUAGGAGUGAAAUCCGUAGAUAUUAGGAGGAACACCGGUGGCGAAGGCGGCUGCCUGGACCGAUAUUGACGCUGAGACGCGAAAGCGUGGGUAGCAAACAGGAUUAGAUACCCUGGUAGUCCACGCCGUAAACGAUGAGAACUAGGUGUUGCGGGUAUUGACCCCU